rnacentral:rRNA from 1 species
GCAAAACGCGAAGAACCUUACCCACCUUUGACAUGUACGGAAUCCUUUAGAGAUAGAGGAGUGCUCGAAAGAGAGCCGUAACACAGGUGCUGCAUGGCUGUCGUCAGCUCGUGUCGUGAGAUGUUGGGUUAAGUCCCGCAACGAGCGCAACCCUUGCCAUUAGUUGCUACAUUUAGUUGAGCACUCUAAGUGGGACUGCCGGUGACAAACCGGAGGAAGGGUGGGGAUGACGUCAAGUCCUCAUCGGCCCUUAUAGGGUGGGGCUACACACGUCAUACAAUGGCGUGGUAACGUAAAGGGUUGACCAACCCGCGAGGGGGGAGCUAAUCCCAUAAAGCCAGUCGUAGUCCGGAUCGCAGUCUGCAACUCGACUGCGUGAAGUCGGAAUCGCUAGUAAUCGUGGAUCAGAAUGUCACGGUGAAUACGUUCCCGGGUCUUGUACACACCG